GCAAUUUUGAUUUCGGAGCUCAAGGUUUAGAGAUUCAAGUUCUGCCAUGGAAGCCGCUAUUCUCUGUUCUUAUACACCGCUUUCCACAACGGCGGACCUUAGGAUUCGAGGAAAGUUUGCUGGAUGUAAUCUCCACUUCUAUAAUUUGCCACUGAACAGAAUACACAUUCCUCUCAAGUUAAAAUUUUCUGAAUCGAGUAGAAGGCACUUUUCUUCACGCAAGGGGCUGAUAUUGUCUCAUGGAAAGAAAGAAUUGUCCAGCUAUUUCACCCAUCAACUUUCAAGCGACUAUACAAGUAUCAGGGCAGCAUCAGGAGAAACACUACAUUAUGGACAGUCUUCAUCAGUGAGUGAAGAUGAGGGAGUGUCACUAACAUCUACAGAUGCCAACGAAUGUGUGUCUUUGCAGCCUAAGCAGAAGCAAUUUAGAAAUAGAUUCUUGAACUUUGUAAGACUGGGUUCCGUUGUUGAUAAUGCUGCUGAGUCUUUUUUCAAGAGUGAGAUAAGGAGAAGGCUGUUUAUGACUGCCAUCUUAAUUGUCAUUAGUCGUAUAGGAUAUUUCAUUCCUCUUCCAGGAUUUGACAGGAGGUUGAUUCCAGAAGACUAUCUCAGCUUUGUCUCGAAAUCAGUUGAUCAACUGGGUGAUUCCACUCCAGAACUUAAACUUUCUCUUUUCCAACUUGGGGUCAGUCCUCAGAUAGCGGCAUCCAUUCUUAUGCAGGUAUUAUGUCACGUUCUUCCUUCUUUAGUGAAGCUGAGAAAAGAGGGCUUAGAUGGGCAUGAGAAGAUCAAGGGUUAUAUAUGGUGGAUCUCGCUUGGUUUUGCAAUUUUGGAAGCUCUUAUUCUCUCUUGUCACUCACUUCCAUAUUCAAUAUAUGCUGCCAAUCAUAGGGUUAAGCAUGUGUUCAUGACUAUGUCUCUUUUAGUUUCUGGUGCAAUGACUAUGUCAUGGAUCUGCGACAAAAUAACAGAGUCUGGAUUUGGUCAAGGAUCAACUUUGAUUAUUUGUGUGGGCAUUUUGACUGGCUAUACAGAUACAUUGCAGAAAAUGUUAACUCAAAUAUCAGAAAGUCGUGGGAACUGGUGGCUCUAUGUACUUGGAGUACUGGGUGUUUUUACUGUCGUUACAAUGUGGGCUGUCGUUGUGAGUGAAGGGUGCCGGAAAGUUAAGCUGCAGUAUUAUGGUUUCAGAGUUGCUUCUGGUGCAAGAGAAGAUUCUCUAGUUCCAGCCGUGGAGCCUUAUAUCCCAUUCAACAUAAAUCCAGCAGGAAUGCAGCCUAUCCUUGUUACCUCUUAUCUGUUGGCACUUCCCGGCAUUCUUGCAAGUCUUCUUGGUUCAAGGUUUUGGGAACACAUUAGAGACGCUUUGAAUCCUGACACUUCACAUGGCGCAGAUCCAUGGGUUUACUAUACAGUUUAUGCUUUCUUUGUCUUUCUCUUCAACAUAUUUGACAUUGCAAACAUGCCAAAAGA
rnacentral:misc_RNA from 1 species